UAAGAUUGUAAAAUUUAAUAU
rnacentral:piRNA from 1 species